UACGUAGGGUGCGAGCGUUGUCCGGAAUUAUUGGGCGUAAAGAGCUCGUAGGUGGUUCGGUAAGUCGGGUGUGAAAACUCUGGGCUCAACCCAGAGACGCCACCCGAUACUGCUGUGACUUGAGUCUGGUAGGGGAGUGUGGAAUUCCUAGUGUAGCGGUGAAAUGCGCAGAUAUUAGGAGGAACACCAGUGGCGAAGGCGGCACUCUGGGCCAGUACUGACACUGAGGAGCGAAAGCGUGGGGAGCGAACAGG
rnacentral:rRNA from 1 species